GAUGAACGCUAGCUACAGGCUUAACACAUGCAAGUCGAGGGGCAGCACGGAGAUAGCUUGCUAUCUUGGGUGGCGACCGGCGCACGGGUGAGUAACGCGUAUCCAACCUGCCCAUUACUCAGGGAUAGCCUUGCGAAAGUAAGAUUAAUACCUGAUGUUGUUAAAAACCCGCAUGAGUUUUUAACCAAAGAUUUAUUGGUAAUGGAUGGGGAUGCGUGACAUUAGGUAGUAGGUGAGGUAACGGCUCACCUAGCCGACGAUGUCUAGGGGUUCUGAGAGGAAGGUCCCCCACACUGGAACUGAGACACGGUCCAGACUCCUACGGGAGGCAGCAGUGAGGAAUAUUGGUCAAUGGACGAGAGUCUGAACCAGCCAAGUAGCGUGCAGGAUGACGGCCCUCUGGGUUGUAAACUGCUUUUGUUUGGGAAUAAAGUGAGGACGUGUCCCUUUUUGUAUGUACCAUUCGAAUAAGCAUCGGCUAAUUCCGUGCCAGCAGCCGA
rnacentral:rRNA from 1 species